UGAAAACAUCGGUAAAGUCUAUAAUCUUCACAAAUCAAAACAGCUGCAGAGUACCACGAAACAGAUGCACUCUGCUUCGAGUAUUUUUUUUCCAGCCAUGUCCCAAAUGAGGGAUAGAAUAUUGUUAUUUACUCCCCUUUAGAACAGAUCACCAAGAUCUUGUAGCUCAGGGUUAUUGGAAUGAUUUUUUUGUUUUUAAUUUUUUUUUCACAAUUAUUUAUAGUAUUUAAUUAGGCAAAAUGUUUACAACAUAAUUAUUCACCAAAAGCACUGCAAAUUAUCCUACUUCCUUCAAUUCCAGAAAGAUGCUGAUGGUAAGAAGACAUCCAGAGGAAAGUAACGUAUGUGUAUAAGGCACUGAAGGGACAGAUUUAUGAAAGGAAAUUGCCAGAAAUAAAUAUGAACAUUACAUUGUAGCUUUGACCAAACCGGAAAGAAGUGUGAGGCUGAUGUGACAGCAAUUUAUAAGUUUUUUGAUAGGUGCAAGUUCCAUUUAUGGAAAGGAAUUUGUACGUGGGUCAUCCAAGGGCUAGUGUAGUGGGAUGUAUGGGUGGAAAAAAAAAGAAGAAAUCCAAAUGAUCAGUUAGCAGGGUUGCAACCCAGGAGAAGUGACUGAAUUAUUUUAAACAAUUUGUGCAACACUGGGGUGAUAUAAUCAUAAGGGAAAAAUCCUACAUAAUCAGGGACAAAUGGUUAACAUUUCUUUUCUCCGAUUUCAGACAUUCUGUAUGCCAGCACCAUCCUUUCUGCUUUUGCAACUGUCCUUCUUGUCUUUUGCUUUUUAUGGUCUCUCAUGUUAAAAAUUCAGCUUUUGGGGAUCAUCAUAUAUAGUAACAAAAACAACACAUAAAUGAACCCAUUGCCAGGUUUCUGUGAUACUGUUCCCUUAACCAUGAAGAGUUAUAUCAAGUUCUUGGGACAAGUACAAGAGACAAAUCCCUCUUUCCUCCCUACACUUUUCCUCUGCAAGCUGAUGAAGUUAGCUCAGGCUUUGGGCCCACAUAAAUGCGAUGCUGUCUAUGCUCAGUUUGGGUGCACA
ensembl:lncRNA